GGACACAAUGGCCUACAUAAGAGGAGGAUGAUGAAGACACCUUGUCAGCUGCCACAGAGAGAGCAAUGCAGGAAAUUACAGUGAGGAAGAUGGUCCGUCCACCGCCACAGCACCACUCACGUCAGUAAGAUGUUGUACAGCAUUGGCCCAUCACUUACAAUGAAAACUAAGUAGUCAGUCCUGGCACUGUGAAAUUCAAUGUCAUUUUUGUGUUCCUAUUAGCUCCCUGUGAAACAGCUGUGCAAGGUGUAUUUAGAGAAACAAAUUGGAAAAUCUAAUUUAGAAAUGGACCACAUAAGGCUGCAGAUGCAAAAGACAAAAAUAGAAAUGCAACUGCUGGAACAUCAGUUAAAGGUGGGUGAGGUGCCCACAGGUGGAUGAUUUUACUUGUUUGAACUGUACUGCAUUUGUACUUGCAGGAA